rfam:Hordeum vulgare subsp. vulgare, WGS project CAJW01000000 data, contig: morex_contig_67608
AUAGUACUCCCUCUGUUUCAAAAUUUUUGUCUUAAAUUUAUCUAGAUAUAAAUGUAUUUAGUCACAUUCUAGUAUCUAGAUACAUUCAUUUCUAAACAAACAUAAGACGAAUUUUGGAACGUAGGGAGUACCUC